rnacentral:rRNA from 1 species
AGCAGCCGCGGUAAUUCCAGCUCCAAUAGCGUAUAUUAAAGUUGUUGCAGUUAAAAAGCUCGUAGUUGAACUUCGGGGUCUACCCAUUGGUCAGGCUUAAUUGUCUGCACUGGUGAGAUGGAUCUCUACCUUCUGAGGAACUUUCAUGCCAUUUAUUUGGUGUGGUUGGAAAUCAGGACUGUUACUUUGAAAAAUUAGAGUGUUUAAAGCAGACUAUCGUCUGAAUACAUUAGCAUGGAAUAAUGAAAUAGGACGGACUGAUUCUAUUUCGUUGGUUUCUAGGAUCACCGUAAUGAUUAAUAGGGAUAGUUGGGGGCAUUAGUAUUCAAUUGUCAGAGGUGAAAUUCUUGGAUUUAUUGAAGUACUAACUACUGCGAAAGCAUUUGCCAAGGAUGUUUUCAUUAAUCAAGAACGAAAGUUAGGGGAUCGAAGACGAUCAGAUACCGUCGUAGUCUUAACCAUAAACUAUGCCGACGUAGGAGUCGGACGAAGUUAAUUUUAUAAUGACGCG